rnacentral:pre_miRNA from 7 species
UUCUACUUUGCGAAUAAUGUAGCUCUGUAAGACCCCCUUUCGGGGGCCCCCACUCUAGUCUCGGGAGUGAGAAAGCACCCAAAGAAACACGAGAACCC